GAAUAUCAGGAGGUUCUGGGCCGA
rnacentral:siRNA from 1 species